rnacentral:rRNA from 1 species
UGAACGCUAGCGACAGGCCUAACACAUGCAAGUCGAGGGGCAGCACAAGGAGCAAUCUGAGGUGGCGACCGGCGCACGGGUGAGUAACACGUAUGCAACCUGCCUGUAAGCGGGAAUAACCCGUGAAAGACGGACUAAUACCGCAUAAUACUAAAUUACUGCAUGGUAAUUUAUUUAAACAUUUAUGGCUUACAGAUGGGCAUGCGCAUGAUUAGCUAGUUGGAGAGGUAACGGCUCCCCAAGGCAACGAUCAUUAGGGGUUCUGAGAGGAAGGUCCCCCACACUGGUACUGAGACACGGACCAGACUCCUACGGGAGGCAGCAGUGAGGAAUAUUGGUCAAUGGACGAGAGUCUGAACCAGCCAAGUCGCGUGCAGGAAGAAUGUCCUUAAUGGAUUGUAAACUGCUUUUGCAGGGGAAUAAAGUGCAUCACGUGUGAUGUUUUGUAUGUACUCUGCGAAUAAGGAUCGGCUAACUCCGUGCCAGCCGCAGC